UGCCCUGGGCCGGGCCGGUCCGGGGCUGAGGCGCAGCCCCCAGGACUCCUGUGCCCCCCUGGUGGCCCGUGGAGGCCCUGCCCACGGGCAGGGCAGCAAGCUCCAGAGUCCCACGGCCGGUGCGCCCGACCCUGCAGCUUGCUGGCCGGCUGGAGCCACAGAGACGGCAGGUCUCCCCCGGCCAAGCCAAGAGUUGGCAGCGCGCUCCCCAAAAGCCUCCGCUGGCAGUUCCCGGGAGGAUGCAACUGGCUGCCCCUGGCUGGCUCCCUCCCGCUGGUCGGGCAAUGCAAAGCCAGACCCACUUCUGCCCCCUGGGGUCCUGGCCUCCAGGGCGGGCGCGCUUCGGAGCGGAGCGGGCGGGCGGGCCCCCUUCGGCUCCCGUCUGCCCUUCGCCCUUCGCCCGCCCGCCCGCCCGCGGAGCCUGCUGCAGCCAGCCCUGGCUCUAGGAGGCUGGCCAGCCGGCACUGCCAACUGGCCCCAGGUGCUAGCUAGAGGCAGCGGCAGGCCUCGGAGCACACCUGCGGGCGCCCCCAGGCCGCACAAGCAUUCUCUGAGGCAAGAGGAGCCCCAGGCAUCAUCUCCCUCUGGCUGGCGGGCUCGCCGGCUCGCGCGUGCGCAGUCCAGGACUCCUCACAGGGAAGGCUUGUCUAGGGAGGGGCCGUGCCCGGGGUGGGGGGCGGCUGCUGCUGGGACACACCUACUCCUGACGCCCACUGGGUGGUCCACGCGAGAUGAGCUCGGUGCUGGGGUACUGGCUGUCCCACCGUGGCCUCCUGAGCCCGAGCAGACACGCGUGGGCCCUCUCCGAGGGCCGGCAGGGACGCAGUCUGGGCCCUCCUGCGUUCCUGGGCGCCUCCGAGGUUCCCCCCACCUCCCUUGGAUCCCCGGGUCAUACCAACAUUCUCUGAGGACAGUUAGAGCCCACGGCAGCGUCCUCCUCUGGCUCUCUGGCUCCCUGGCUCAUGCAUGUGCAGACCAGGACUCCCUGUGCUAAGAGCUGGUAGGGCAGGGCUGUUCCUAGGGGCUCCUGCUGGGACACACCUACUCCUGACGCGCACUGGGUGGUCCACGCGAGAUGAGCUCGGUGCUGGGGUACGGGCUGUCCCACCGUGGCCUCCUGAGCCCGAGCAGACACGCGUGGGCCCUCUCCGAGGGCCAGCAGGGCCGCAGUCUGGGCCCUCCUGCGUUCCUGGGCGCCUCCGAGGUUCCCCCCACCUCCCUUGGGCCGGGCCGGGCCGGGCCGGGACGAGGCGCAGCCCCAGGAACCCUGUGCCACCUGGCUGGCCCGUGGAGGCCCCGCCCACGGGCAGGGCAGCAAGCUCCAGAGCCCCACGGCCGAUGCGCCCGACCCUGCAGCCUGCUGGCCGGCUGGAGCCACAGAGACGGCAGGUCUCCCCCGGCCAAGCCAAGAGUUGGCAGCGCGCUCCCCAAAAGCCUCCGCUGGCAGUUCCCGGGAGGAUGCAACUGGCUGCCCCUGGCUGGCUCCCUCCCGCUGGUCGGGCAAUGCAAAGCCAGACCCACUUCUGCCCCCUGGGGUCCUGGCCUCCAGGGCGGGCGCGCUUCGCAGCGGAGCGGGCGGGCGGGCCCCCUUGGGCUUCCGUCUGCCCUUCGCCCGCCCGCGGAGCCUGCUGCAGCCAGCCCUGGCUCUAGGAGGCUGGCCAGCCGGCACUGCCAACUGGCCCCAGGUGCUAGCUAGAGGCCGCGGCAGGCCUCGGAGCACACCUGCGGGCGCCCCCAGGCCGCACAAGCAUUCUCUGAGGCAAGAGGAGCCCCAGGCCUCAUCUCCCUCUGGCUGGCGGGCUCGCCGGCUCGCGCGUGCGCAGUCCAGGACUCCUCACAGGAAAGGCUUGUCUAGGGAGGGGCCGUUCCCGGGGUGGGGGGCGGCUGCUGCUGGGACACACCUACUCCUGACGCCCACUGGGUGGUCCACGCGAGAUGAGCUCGGUGCUGGGGUACAGGCUGUCCCACCGUGGCCUCCUGAGCCCGAGCAGACACGCGUGGGCCCUCUCCGAGGGCCGGCAGGGACGCAGUCUGGGCCCUCCUGCGUUCCUGGGCGCCUCCGAGGUUCCCCCCACCUCCCUUGGAUCCCCGGGUCAUACCAACAUUCUCUGAGGACAGUUAGAGCCCACGGCAGCGUCCUCCUCUGGCUCUCUGGCUCCCUGGCUCAUGCAUGUGCAGACCAGGACUCCCUGUGCUAAGAGCUGGUAGGGCAGGGCUGUUCCUAGGGGCUCCUGCUGGGACACACCUACUCCUGACGCGCACUGGGUGGUCCACGCGAGAUGAGCUCGGUGCUGGGGUACGGGCUGUCAGGCCGUGGCCUCAUGAGCCGGAGUGGACACCCGUGGGCCCUCUCCGAGGGCCGGGAGGGCCGGAGUCUGGGCCCUCCUGCGUUCCUGGGCGCCUCCGAGGUUCCCCCCACCUCCCUUGGGCCAGGCCGGGAUGAGGCACAGCCCCAGGAACCCUGUGCCACCUGGCUGGCCCGUGGAGGCCCCGCCCACGGGCAGGGCAGCAAGCUCCAGAGCC
rnacentral:lncRNA from 1 species